rnacentral:rRNA from 1 species
CCUACGGGCGACUGCAGUGAGGAAUAUUGGUCAAUGGCCGGAAGGCUGAACCAGCCAAGCCGCGUGAAGGACGCAGGUGCCAAGCAUUGUAAACUUCUUUUGUCAAGGGACAAAAUCAGGCUCGAGAGCCUGACCGAGGGUACUUGAAGAAAAAGCCUCGGCUAACUCCGUGCCAGCAGCCGCGGUAAUACGGAGGAUGCGAGCGUUCUCCGGAUUUAUUGGGUUUAAAGGGUGCGUAGGCGGACUUUUAAGUCAGCGGUAAAAGCCCGGGGAUCAACCCCGCUCCGCCGUUGAAACUGUGUACAUUGAGUGCGCGAAGGGUAGGCGGAAUGCGUGGUGUAGCGGGGAAAGGCAUAGAUAUCACGCAGAACUCCGAUCGCGAAGGCAGCCUACCGGCGCGCAACUGACGCUCAUGCACGAAAGCGUGGGUAUCGAACAGGAUUAGAUACCCUGGUAGUC